rnacentral:rRNA from 1 species
UACGUAGGGUGCGAGCGUUAAUCGGAAUUACUGGGCGUAAAGCGUGCGCAGGCGGUGAUGUAAGACCGAUGUGAAAUCCCCGGGCUUAACCUGGGAACUGCGUUUCUAACUGGCAGGCUUGAGUGUGGCAGAGGGGGGUGGAAUUCCACGUGUAGCAGUGAAAUGCGUAGAGAUGUGGAGGAACACCGAUGGCCGAAGGCAGCCCCCUGGGCUAACACUGACGCUCAUGCACGAAAGCGUGGGGAGCAAACAGG